GGAGGGUUGGCCGAACGGUAAGGCAGCGGUCUCGAAAACCGGCGUCGAGGUGAAACUCGAAGGGGUUCGACUCCCUUACCCUCCGCCA
rnacentral:tRNA from 1 species